GUAGUUAUCAAGUUUAGCUUAUCAGACUGCUGAAUUUAAGCUUUAUCUGCCUAAUUUCCUCCUCCAACAUUCUUUAGUAGUUCACAGUCCUCAUUUCUCAUUUCAGGUGCAGUAGAAAACACGUUCUCCCUGCAGUCUCAUGAAUUGUGAACAAAAACUGAAGUGAAAACUCAGAGGACACUCCCAGUGCAUAACUUGUCAGUAGUACUGUGUUUUUAUAACCAUCAGCAAGAAGACAAAUUUGACCGAGCCCCACCUAAUCCUCUUUGCAUGGACUGAGGCCUCUUUCGCAGUGGAAAGGAGCAGAGAAUGUGACUUUCCUGAACAACAGGAGCAAAAAUCAAUGCUGGAUUCUCUUGCCUGAAAAUAAACAAGCUUUUACUACAGAUGGUUGAAUCUAUGGAUGUGAAAGCCACAGAUAUGGAAGACUGACUGUAUAUUCAUUCCAUCCUAACAGCCUCAACAGCCUUACUUGAUUUUGGCAUCAACUCUGAAGUCUAAAAUUCAAAACUUCAUCUAAGCAUUUUUUAAAUCAGAUAUGGGUGAGACUCCAAGUAAAAAUCUAUCCUGAAACUAAACAUCCCUCCAGCUAUGAAACUGUAAGACUAGAUAAGUUAAGCCAUUUCAAAAUACAGCUAUAGGACAGGAGUAGGAUAGACAUCCUAUUCCAAAGACAAGUAUCUGAAGAAAGACAUGGAUAAUGUAUCUCAAGAUAGCUCCAAACCU
rnacentral:lncRNA from 13 species